AUGUUUCAACUGCAGCUGGCCUGGGCAUUAUGUGGGGAAUUGUGUGGAGGCAAAAAAUGUUUUAUCUGCGAUGGGAAUCACAACAUUAACAAUUGUGCUGCCUGGGAAAAACCACAACCUGCUGCCACUUACUUUGGCGGUGCUGCUUCAGGGCUGGGAUUUUAUCAUAUCGAAGUUCCUGUGGCGGCUGAAUCUAGCUGGUUGAAUUACAAGAACUGUGUUGUUCUCAAGGUGGUUAAGGGAGAGGUUUCUGCCUCAGAUCUACUAACUCAGUUAAAUGGGAUCUUUUGUAAGAACAAAGAGUGGCCAUGGCAAAUCAGAGAAUUGGAGAACAAGAAGUUCCUGCUGAGAUUUCCCCCUUGGAAAAAUGUGGAUGACCUAAUUGAAUUUCCUCCAUUUGAACUGCCAAUUGCUGGUGUAUCUGUCAAAAUCUGUGAAUGGGAAGGAAUGUUGGAUGAGUUUGGAGCACUGACUGAGGCCUAUGUAUAGAUUGAAGGAAUUCCACCUAAGUGGUGCGCCUGGAAAGUUUUUGCCCAGAUUACAAUGUGUUUUGGGAUUCUGGUGGAUGUUGACUGGAAUGGUAUUUUCAAGAGCUUCUGUGAAAUUAUUCGAGUCAAAGUUGCCUGCAGAGAUCCCAGGAAGAUUCCUUUUGAGAGAUUGGUGGAGAUGAAAAAGAAACUAUAUCUGCUGCUCUUUACAGUGGAAGGGUUCGAGCAAAAUGGUGAGGAUGCUGAUGGAGGGGAUGAUGAUCCAGAUCUGGAUAAUCUUGAGGGAAAUGAUGGAAACAACAAGAAAGAUGCUGAGGACAAAGAGGGAAUGGAAGAAGACAAUGAUGAGGCGAUUGAUUAG
rnacentral:rRNA from 1 species